AUUGAACGCUGGCGGCAAGCCUAACACAUGCAAGUCGAACGAGUGGCGGACGGGUGAGUAAUGUCUGGGAAACUGCCUGAUGGAGGGGGAUAACUACUGGAAACGGUAGCUAAUACCGCAUACCAUCGGAUGUGCCCAUAUGGGAUUAGCUAGUGGGUGGGGUAAAGGCUCACCUAGGCGACGAUCCCUAGCUGGUCUGAGAGGAGGACCAGCCACACUGGAACUGAGACACGGUCCAGACUCCUACGGGAGGAAGCAGUGGGGAAUAUUGCACAAUGGGGGAAAGCCUGAUGCAGCCAUGCCGCGUGUAUGAAGAAGGCCUGCGGGUUGUAAAGUACUUUCAGCGGGGAGGCGUUACCCGCAGAAGAAGCACCGGCUAACUACGUGCCAGCAGCCGCGGUAAUUC
rnacentral:rRNA from 1 species